rnacentral:rRNA from 1 species
UGCGUAGGUGGCCGGGUAAGUCCGACGUGAAAUCUCCGAGCCUAACUCGGAAACUGCAUCGGAUACUAUUCGGCUGGAGGGUUGGAGGGGGGGACUGGAAUACUUGGUGUAGCAGUGAAAUGCGUAGAUAUCAAGUGGAACACCAGUGGCGAAGGCGAGUCCCUGGACAACUCCUGACACUGAGGCACGAAAGCUAGGGGAGCAAACAG